UGCCUUUGUGUUGCCCAUUCAUUCCUGUCCCGAGUGAAUGAGGUGUCAGAAAAGGCAAACAGAAAUUCUUGCUCAGACUGUGUAAGAAGCUGGUUAUUUACCUUUCUUCUCACUGUUUUUUGCAAGAACACAA
rnacentral:snoRNA from 1 species